AUUGAACGCUGGCGGCAGGCUUAACACAUGCAAGUCGAGCGGAGAUGAGGUGCUUGCACCUUAUCUUAGCGGCGGACGGGUGAGUAAUGCUUAGGAAUCUGCCUAUUAGUGGGGGACAACAUUCCGAAAGGAAUGCUAAUACCGCAUACGUCCUACGGGAGAAAGCAGGGGAUCUUCGGACCUUGCGCUAAUAGAUGAGCCUAAGUCGGAUUAGCUAGGUGGUGGGGUAAAGGCCUACCAAGGCGACGAUCUGUAGCGGGUCUGAGAGGAUGCACCGCCACCAUGGGGAUGAGACACGGCCCAAGAUCCUACGGGGGGGAGCAGUGGGGAAUAUUGGACAAUGGGGGGAACCCUGAUCCAGCCAUGCCGCGUGUGUGAAGAAGGCCUUAUGGUUGUAAAGCACUUUAAGCGAGGAGGAGGCUACUGAGACUAAUACUCUUGGAUAGUGGACGUUACUCGCAGAAUAAGCACCGGCUAACUCUGUGACAGCCGCCGCAGUAAGAC
rnacentral:rRNA from 1 species